rnacentral:rRNA from 1 species
UACGUAGGGUGCAAGCGUUAAUCGGAAUUACUGGGCGUAAAGCGUGCGCAGGCGGUUUUGUAAGUCUGUCGUGAAAUCCCCGGGCUCAACCUGGGAACUGCAUCUGUGACUGCAUUGCUGGAGUACGGCAGAGGGGGAUGGAAUUCCGCGUGUAGCAGUGAAAUGCGUAGAUAUGCGGAGGAACACCGAUGGCGAAGGCAAUCCCCUGGGCCUGUACUGACGCUCAUGCACGAAAGCGUGGGGAGCAAACAGG